GACGAACGCUGGCGGCGUGCCUAAUACAUGCAAGUAGAACGCUGAAGAGAGGAGCUUGCUCUUCUUGGAUGAGUUGCGAACGGGUGAGUAACGCGUAGGUAACCUGCCUUGUAGCGGGGGAUAACUAUUGGAAACGAUAGCUAAUACCGCAUAACAAUAGGUGACACAUGUCAUUUAUUUGAAAGGGGCAAUUGCUCCACUACAAGAUGGACCUGCGUUGUAUUAGCUAGUAGGUGAGGUAACGGCUCACCUAGGCGACGAUACAUAGCCGACCUGAGAAGGUGAUCGGCCACACUGGGACUGAGACACGGCCCAGACUCCUACGGGAGGCAGCAGUAGGGAAUCUUCGGCAAUGGGGGCAACCCUGACCGAGCAACGCCGCGUGAGUGAAGAAGGUUGUCGGAUCGUAAAGCUCUGUUGUAAGUCAAGAACGAGUGUGAGAGUGGAAAGUUCACACUGUGACGGUAGCUUACCAGAAAGGGACGGCUAACUACGUG
rnacentral:rRNA from 1 species